UACGUAGGUGGCAAGCGUUGUCCGGAAUUAUUGGGCGUAAAGGGUGCGUAGGCGGCGCGGUAAGUCGGGUGUGAAAUCUCGGAGCUUAACUCCGAAACUGCAUUCGAUACUGCCGUGCUUGAGGACUGGAGAGGAGACUGGAAUUUACGGUGUAGCGGUGAAAUGCGUAGAUAUCGUAAGGAAGACCAGUGGCGAAGGCGGGUCUCUGGACAGUUCCUGACGCUGAGGCACGAAGGCCAGGGGAGCAAACGGG
rnacentral:rRNA from 1 species